AUCAUCUAAAAGGACUGGACCUACAUCUGCAGUUAACUGCACAAUGGAAGAAACGGCCUCUCCUGGGCAGCCUCAUGGAUGGGGUGAAGAGACAAAGCUUGGGAGUGUAGCAUGUUGAGCACAUCUGCUCAGAGGUAACAUUUAAGCAUUUAGGUUGUCUCCAAGCAUAAAAAUGGAAAUACUGAUCCUGUGACAACACAGCCUGAAUUUUCUGCUUUGCAGAUGCCAGAUUUAUUUUUAAAUGGUGUGAAUCAAAUCUGUGCUGAGAGGCCAACUUCAAAAUAUAAAAGAAAAAUUGGCAAUGGGAGGAUUGUGCUGGUUUGGCUGAAAUGAAGUGCUCUACGGCAUUUCAUUCUAGUGGAGCGUCUGACUGUGAAAAUCCUUCCAAUUGUAAUUUUCUUUGGCUUGUCAAAAGAGGAUUAUGAACUAAAGUCAGUGUUGCAGGAAAUGUCACCUGUCCUUUGAAAGAAAAUAAUAAAUCAAAAUGGCUUUUGUUCAUCAUGUUUAAAAUGAAAAAAAAAAAAAAGUUGAUCCAC
rnacentral:lncRNA from 10 species